GAUGAACGCUAGCGGCAGGCUUAAUACAUGCAAGACGAACGGUAACUGUUGUAGCAAUACAACAGCAAGAGUGUCGUACGGGUGCGUAACACGUAUGCAACCUACCUUGUACAGGAGGAUAGCUCGGGGAAACUCGAAUUAACCCUCCAUAAUAUCAUGAGAUGGCAUCAUUUUAUGAUUAAACUGAGUGGUACAGAUGGCAUGCGAUUGAUUAGUUAGUUGGCAGUGUAACGGACUACCAAGACGAUGAUCAAUA
rnacentral:rRNA from 1 species